AUUGAACGCUGGCGGCAGGCCUAACACAUGCAAGUCGAACGAGUGGCGGACGGGUGAGUAAUGUCUGGGAAACUGCCCGAUGGAGGGGGAUAACUACUGGAAACGGUAGCUAAUACCGCAUACCAUCGGAUGUGCCCAGAUGGGAUUAGCUAGUAGGUGGGGUAACGGCUCACCUGGGCGACGAUCCCUAGCUGGUCUGAGUGGAGGACCGGCCACACUGGAACUGUGCCACGGUCCAGACUCCUCCGGGAGGCAGAAGUGGGGAACAUUGCACAAUGGGCGCAAGCCUGAGGCAGCCAGGCCGCGUGUAUGAAGAAGGCCUUCGGGUUGUAAAGUACUUUCAGCGGGGAGGCGUUACCCGCAGAGGAAGCACCGGCUAACUCCGUGCCAGCAGCCGCGGUAAUAC
rnacentral:rRNA from 1 species